rnacentral:tRNA from 1 species
GAGGGUAUAGCUCAGGGUAGACUGCAUGCUUAGCAUGCACAAGGUCCUGGGUUCAAUCCCUAGUACCUCCA